AUGGACAGUGGGACUCUGCAGCAGUUGAGGCAUGGAAAUUCAGCAUUACUGCUGUUMUCCUUAUGCAUGUUUCCAGCGAUUGAGGACUUCAUCUUGCAGUUUGAAUUGUCAGAUGGAUUAGUGUUUGAAACAGGAAUUUGCACACUGACCACAGAAUGGAUCCACCAAGCAGCUCUGAAAGAUAUGAACAAGAACUGUCAGCUGUGUUGCAGGGAAGGAGAUGGUGACACAGAUAUGGCCUUCAAGAAAUCUCACCUACUACUUGUGCUACUUCUCACAAGUAGCAAACUACUGCACUGAAUUGAAUUCCUAGCAAAGAGGCGUCUAGAGUCCAYGCAGUGCUGCUGUACGAGAUCCACAGUGGAAACCAUUCAAGGUGAGCAUAGAAAGGGAAGCUAAUGUCUCUGCUUUAUUGUAGCCUAAUAACACAUUUAGGUCAGGCAGU
rnacentral:lncRNA from 1 species